rnacentral:rRNA from 1 species
UGGGGAAUAUUGGACAAUGGGCGAAAGCCUGAUCCAGCCAUGCCGCGUGUGUGAAGAAGGUCUUCGGAUUGUAAAGCACUUUAAGUUGGGAGGAAGGGCAGUAAGCGAAUACCUUGCUGUUUUGACGUUACCGACAGAAUAAGCACCGGCUGACUCUGUGCCAGCAGCCGCGGUAAUACAGAGGGUGCAAGCGUUAAUCGGAAUUACUGGGCGUAAAGCGCGCGUAGGUGGUUCGUUAAGUUGAAUGUGAAAGCCCCGGGCUCAACCUGGGAACUGCAUCCACAACUGGCGAGCUAGAGUAGGGCAGAAGGUGGUGGAAUUUCCUGUGUAGCGGUGAAAUGCGUAGAUAUAGGAAGGAACACCAGUGGCGAAGGCGACCACCUGGGCUCAUACUGACACUGAGGUGCGAAAGCGUGGGGAGCAAACAGG